UACAGAGACCUCAAGCGUUUAUCCGGAAUCAUUGGGCGUAAAGCGUACCGAUAGGUUGUUUUACAAGUCAGGAGUGAAAUCUCAAGGCUCAACUUUGAGACUGUCUCUUGAAACUGUAAAACUAGAGGGGUAAAGAGGAAGCUGGAACGAACGGUGUAGUAGUGAAAUGCGUUGAUAUCGUUCGGAACACCAAUAGCGAAGGC
rnacentral:rRNA from 1 species